rfam:Myotis davidii contig61504, whole genome shotgun sequence.
AGACCCAGAGAGAGAGGCAGGGUCUGAUCCACAGCCUCAGUGGCAGCUGUUGAUCAGUACUUCCCUCUCUCUUUCUCUCCC